rnacentral:rRNA from 1 species
CAGCAGCCACGGGAAUACGGAGGGUGCAAGCGUUAUUCGGAAUUACUGGGCGUAAAGCGCACGCAGGCGGUUGCCCAAGUCGGAUGUGAAAGCCCCGGGCUUAACCUGGGGACUGCAUUUGAAACUGGGCGACUAGAGUAUGAAAGAGGAAAGCGGAAUUUCCAGUGUAGCAGUGAAAUGCGUAGAUAUUGGAAGGAACACCGAUGGCGAAGGCAGCUUUCUGGGUCGAUACUGACGCUCAUGUGCGAAAGCAUGGGGAGCAAACAGGAUUAGAUACCCGCGUAGUCCCUGUCUCUUAUAC